rnacentral:tRNA from 1 species
GAGGGUAGAGCUCAGUGGUAGAGCGCAUGCUUAGCAUGCACGAGGUCCUGGGUUCAAUCCCCAGUACCUCCA